UACGUAGGGUGCAAGCGUUGUCCGGAAUUAUUGGGCGUAAAGAGCUCGUAGGCGGCUUGUCGCGUCGGCUGUGAAAACCUGGGGCUCAACCCCGGGCCUGCAGCCGAUACGGGCAAGCUAGAAUUCGGUAGGGGAGACUGGAAUUCCUGGUGUAGCGGUGAAAUGCGUAGAGAUGGGGGAGAACACUCGUGGCGAAGGCGGCCAGCUAGACCAGUUCUGACACUGAGGCGCGACAGCGUGGGGAGCAAACAGG
rnacentral:rRNA from 1 species